rnacentral:rRNA from 1 species
UACGGAGGGGGCGAGCGUUAUUCGGAAUUACUGGGCGUAAAGGGCUCGUAGGUGGCCAACUAAGUCAGACGUGAAAUCCCUCAGCUUAACUGGGGAACUGCGUCUGAUACUGGAUGGCUUGAGUUUGGGAGAGGGAUGCGGAAUUCCAGGUGUAGCGGUGAAAUGCGUAGAUAUCUGGAGGAACACCGGUGGCGAAGGCGGCAUCCUGGACCAACACUGACACUGAGGAGCGAAAGCGUGGGUAGCAAACAGG